AAAGAGCACCAUGAAAAACAACACACCAAGGAAGCUAAUACUAGCAACCUUCUUAGUUUUCACCUCGCUUUCUUUUUCUCCACUUUCUUGCUACUUUUUGGCGCGGGUGUUGCUGCCUGAGGUUUCGAUUUCGAAAUCAAAAUCGAUUCUUCCUCAACUUUAUUACCAUUAUCACUUAACGAAAAAGUAGUCGACUUUUGGAUUUUACUUGCAUUAUUCGAAU
rnacentral:lncRNA from 1 species